rnacentral:rRNA from 1 species
CUACGGGAGGCACCAGUGGGGAAUAUUGCACAAUGGGCGCAAGCCUGAUGCAGCCAUGCCGCGUGUAUGAAGAAGGCCUUCGGGUUGUAAAGUACUUUCAGCGGGGAGGAAGGGAGUAAAGUUAAUACCUUUGCUCAUUGACGUUACCCGCAGAAGAAGCACCGACUAACUCCGUGCCAGCAGCCGCGGUAAUACGGAGGGCGCAAGCGUUAAUCGGAAUUACUGGGCGUAAAGCGCACGCAGGCGGUUUGUUAAGUCAGAUGUGAAAUCCCCGGGCUCAACCUGGGAACUGCAUCUGAUACUGGCAAGCUUGAGUCUCGUAGAGGGGGGUAGAAUUCCAGGUGUAGCGGUGAAAUGCGUAGAGAUCUGGAGGAAUACCGGUGGCGAAGGCGGCCCCCUGGACGAAGACUGACGCUCAGGUGCGAAAGCGUGGGGAGCAAACAGGAUUAGAUACCCUCGUAGUC